rnacentral:rRNA from 1 species
GAUGAACGCUGGCGGCGUGCCUAAUACAUGCAAGUCGAGCGAACAGACGAGGAGCUUGCUCCUGUGACGGUAGCGGCGGACGGGUGAGUAACACGUGGAGAAUCGACCUAUGAGACUGGGAUAACUUCGGGAAACCGGAGCUAAUACCGGAUAAUAUAUUGAACCGCAUGGUUCAAUAGUGAAAGACGGAUUUGCUGUCACUUAGAGAUGGAUCCGCGCCGCAUAAGCUAGGUGGUAAGGUAAGGGCUUACCAAGGCAACGAUGCGUAGCCGACCUGAGAGGGUGAUCGGCCACACGGGAACUGAGAAACGGUCCAGACUCCUACGGGGGGCAGCAGUAGGAAAUCUUCCGCAAUGGGGGAAAGCCUGACGGAGCAACGCCGCGGGAGGGAUGAAGGUCUUCGGCUCGUAAAGUUCUGUUAUUCGGGAGGAAGAAAUGUGUAAGUAACUAUGCACGUAUUGACGGUACCUAAUCAGAAAGCCACGGCUAACUACGUG